rnacentral:lncRNA from 1 species
AUCCCUUCACUUGUCAAACAAGCUAUCACACGGUUUGGAGAUUUAUAGAUCAAUCAUGACAAUAUAUCCCCAAUUUCACUUCACUCUUGCUUAUCAUUGAUCAUUCAUUUGCAUUAUGGGAUCACAUGCUAGCUUGCUAUCUUCAUUGUGAGCCAUAUAAUACACAUUUAACAUAUGAGACAAUAUUACAUCAUGAUCAUGAGAAUAAAAUCCUAGUCACAACCUUAGGUAAAAAGUUAGUCAUUUAAUCGUUUUGUCAUUCAAUUCACCAAAACCUACUUAGAGGCCUAGAUGCACUUUCAUAUAACGAUUUAGUGUUAUAACCACCUUUGCUCUCAUAGUGGCAUACAAGGGAAUCGCCAUCUCAUUGUAAACUACUCCUGAGACAAUCUCUCAACUAACUCGUAUCUAGUAGAAGCUGUUCAGAGAAAUUUCUUCUUAACCUCUAUCCCAUCCCAAACCUCCAACAAGGGACUCCAAUUUGAUUGCAAAUACAGAAAUGUUCACAAAACUAGAUUGCUAAAGGAGCAGUUCCAAGUAUCCCAGCACCCACUUUCAUCUAUAACCAUAUUUCAAAGCCUUUGCUUCCCACAUCACACCUUUACAGAAAGUGGAAGGUUAGAGUGCGACAGACAGAAAAUUUAUUUACAUUUCUAUUAUAUUUUCUGUUUGAUAAUGGCAUGUCAUACUUUUCCUU